rnacentral:rRNA from 1 species
GACGAACGCUGGCGGCGUGCUUAACACAUGCAAGUCGAACGGAAAGGCCCUGCUUUUGUGGGGUGCUCGAGUGGCGAACGGGUGAGUAACACGUGAGUAACCUGCCCUUGACUUUGGGAUAACUUCAGGAAACUGGGGCUAAUACCGGAUAGGAGCUCCUGCUGCAUGGUGGGGGUUGGAUAGUUUCGGCGGUUGGGGAUGGACUCGCGGCUUAUCAGCUUGUUGGUGGGGUAGUGGCUUACCAAGGCUUUGACGGGUAGCCGGCCUGAGAGGGUGACCGGCAAAAUUGGGACUGAGAUACGGCACAGACUCCUACGGGAGGCAGCAGUGGGGAAUAUUGCACAAUGGGCGGAAGCCUGAUGCAGCAACGCCGCGUGCGGGAUGACGGCCUUGGGGUUGUAAACCGCUUUCGCCUGAGACGAAGCGUGAGUGACGGUAAUGGGAGAAGAAGCACCGGCUAACUACGUG